UACGUAGGUGGCGAGCGUUGUCCGGAUUUACUGGGCGUAAAGAGCGCGCAGGCGGUCGAUCAAGUCGGAUGUGAAAGCCCCCGGCUCAACUGGGGAGGGUCAUUCGAUACUGGUCGACUCGAAGGCAGGAGAGGGAAGCGGAAUUCCCGGUGUAGUGGUGAAAUGCGUAGAUAUCGGGAGGAACACCAGUGGCGAAGGCGGCUUCCUGGCCUGUUCUUGACGCUGAGGCGCGAAAGCUAGGGGAGCAAACAGG
rnacentral:rRNA from 1 species